AAAUUGAAGAGUUUGAUCAUGGCUCAGAUUGAACGCUGGCGGCAGGCCUAACACAUGCAAGUCGAGCGGUAGCACAGAGAGCUUGCUCUCGGGUGACGAGCGGCGGACGGGUGAGUAAUGUCUGGGAAACUGCCUGAUGGAGGGGGAUAACUACUGGAAACGGUAGCUAAUACCGCAUAAUGUCGUAAGACCAAAGUGGGGGACCUUCGGGCCUCAUGCCAUCAGAUGUGCCCAGAUGGGAUUAGCUAGUAGGUGGGGUAACGGCUCACCUAGGCGACGAUCCCUAGCUGGUCUGAGAGGAUGACCAGCCACACUGGAACUGAGACACGGUCCAGACUCCUACGGGAGGCAGCAGUGGGGAAUAUUGCACAAUGGGCGCAAGCCUGAUGCAGCCAUGCCGCGUGUGUGAAGAAGGCCUUCGGGUUGUAAAGCACUUUCAGCGGGGAGGAAGGCGGUGAGGUUAAUAACCUCACCGAUUGACGUUACCCGCAGAAGAAGCACCGGCUAACUCCGUGCCAGCAGCCGCGGUAAUACGGAGGGUGCAAGCGUUAAUCGGAAUUACUGGGCGUAAAGCGCACGCAGGCGGUCUGUCAAGUCGGAUGUGAAAUCCCCGGGCUCAACCUGGGAACUGCAUUCGAAACUGGCAGGCUAGAGUCUUGUAGAGGGGGGUAGAAUUCCAGGUGUAGCGGUGAAAUGCGUAGAGAUCUGGAGGAAUACCGGUGGCGAAGGCGGCCCCCUGGACAAAGACUGACGCUCAGGUGCGAAAGCGUGGGGAGCAAACAGGAUUAGAUACCCUGGUAGUCCACGCCGUAAACGAUGUCGAUUUGGAGGUUGUGCCCUUGAGGCGUGGCUUCCGGAGCUAACGCGUUAAAUCGACCGCCUGGGGAGUACGGCCGCAAGGUUAAAACUCAAAUGAAUUGACGGGGGCCCGCACAAGCGGUGGAGCAUGUGGUUUAAUUCGAUGCAACGCGAAGAACCUUACCUGGUCUUGACAUCCACAGAACUUUCCAGAGAUGGAUUGGUGCCUUCGGGAACUGUGAGACAGGUGCUGCAUGGCUGUCGUCAGCUCGUGUUGUGAAAUGUUGGGUUAAGUCCCGCAACGAGCGCAACCCUUAUCCUUUGUUGCCAGCGGUCCGGCCGGGAACUCAAAGGAGACUGCCAGUGAUAAACUGGAGGAAGGUGGGGAUGACGUCAAGUCAUCAUGGCCCUUACGACCAGGGCUACACACGUGCUACAAUGGCAUAUACAAAGAGAAGCGACCUCGCGAGAGCAAGCGGACCUCAUAAAGUAUGUCGUAGUCCGGAUUGGAGUCUGCAACUCGACUCCAUGAAGUCGGAAUCGCUAGUAAUCGUAGAUCAGAAUGCUACGGUGAAUACGUUCCCGGGCCUUGUACACACCGCCCGUCACACCAUGGGAGUGGGUUGCAAAAGAAGUAGGUAGCUUAACCUUCGGGAGGGCGCUUACCACUUUGUGAUUCAUGACUGGGGUGAAGUCGUAACAAGGUAACCGUAGGGGAACCUGCGGUUGGAUCACCUCCUUACCUUAAAGAA
rnacentral:rRNA from 2 species